CCCCCACCUCUUUCCCCUUUGGUAACCAUAAGUUUGUUUUCUACCUUGUAAGUCUAUUUCUAUUUUGUAAGUAAGUUCAUUUGUAUCAUUUUUUAAGAUUACACAAAUAAGUGAUAUUAUAUAAUUUGUUUUUUCUUUUAGGGUUGCACCUGUCGCAUGUGGAAGUUCCCAGGCUAGGGGUCAAAUCAAAGCUGUAGCUGCCUGCCCCGGCCUACACCACAGCCCAUGGCAACACUUGAUCCCCAACCCACUGAUUGAGGCCAGAGAUGGUACCCGAAUCCUCAUGGAUACUACUUGUGUUCGUUUUUGCUGAGCCACAAGGGGAACUCCCUCUAUAAUUUUAUUUUUGUCUGACUUAUUUCACUUAAUAGGGUAAUCUCUAGGUCCAUUCAUAUUGCUACAAAUGGUAUAUUUUCACUCUUUUUAUGGAUAAGUGGUAUUCCAUUGUGUUGUGUUUAUAUACCACAUCUUUUUUUUUUUUUUUUUUGCUUUUUAGGGCCACCUCGUGGCACAUGGAGGUUCCUAGGCUAGGGGUUGAAUUGGAGCUACAGCUGCUGCCCUACACCACAGCUCACAGCAAUGUCAAAUCCUUAACCCACUGAGUGAGGCCAGGGAUCGCACACGAAACCUCAGAACACAGAUUUGUUUCCACUGCACCACGACGGGAACUCCUAUACCACAUCUUAUUUAUCCAUUCAUCUGUCAAUGGACACUUAGGUUGUUUCCAUGUCUUGGCUGCUAUGAAGCAUUGCAAAUAGUGCUGCCAUGACCAUUGGAGUGCAAGUAUCUUUUCAAAUUAGAGCUUUCAUUUUUUCCAGAUAUAUGCCCAGGAGUGGGAUGGCUGCAUCAUAUGGCAACUCUAUUUUUAAUUUUUUAAGGAACCUCCAUACUGCUCUCCAUGGUGGCUGUACCAAUUUACAUUCCUACUAACGGCGUAGAAUGGCUCCCUGUACUUAGGACAGGAAACCUGAGCCAUAAACAGGACUCAAAAAAAAGGCUUCAUUUUUUUCUUAAGGAUUUGUCACCUGCACUAUUUAUUGUGGGCAUUUGUUGCUUCAAGGUCAGUUUUCUGAUAACAUGACAACUACAUUUUUUUUUUUUUUUUUUUUUUUUGGAAGCACCCAAGGCAUGCAAAAUUUCCUGGAUCAGGCAUGGAACCUGUGCCACAGCAGUGACCCAAGCCACUGCAGUGACAACGCAGGAUCCCUAACCUGCUGAGCCAUCAGAGAACUCCAAAGUACAUUUUUUUUUUUUAAUUGGAAAAAGUAAAUUAAGAAGUUUGUCAGGAGUUCCUAUCAUGGCUCAGUGGAAAUGGAUCUGACCAGCAUCCAAGAGGAAGAAGGUUUCGAUCCCUGGCCUCGCUCAGUGGGUUAAGGAUCCGGUGUUGUCAUGAGCUGUGGUGUAGGUGGCAGACGUGGCUCAGAUCCAUUGUUGCUGUGGCUGUG
rnacentral:lncRNA from 1 species